GAUGAACGCUGGCGGCGUGCUUAACACAUGCAAGUCGAACGGAAAGGCUCCUGCUUGCAGGGGUACUCGAGUGGCGAACGGGUGAGUAACACGUGGGUGAUCUGCCCUGCACUUCGGGAUAAGCCUGGGAAACUGGGUCUAAUACCGGAUAGGACGAUGGUUUGGAUGCCAUUGUGGAAAGUUUUUCGGUGGGGGAUGAGCUCGCGGCCUAUCAGCUUGUUGGUGGGGUAAUGGCUUACCAAGGCGUCGACGGGUAGCCGGCCUGAGAGGGUGUACGGCCACAUUGGGACUGAGAUACGGCCCAGACUCCUACGGGAGGCAGCAGUGGGGAAUAUUGCACAAUGGGCGCAAGCCUGAUGCAGCGACGCCGCGUGGGGGAUGACGGCCUUCGGGUUGUAAACUCCUUUCGCUAGGGACGAAGCGCAAGUGACGGUACCUGGAGAAGAAGCACCGGCUAACUACGUG
rnacentral:rRNA from 1 species